rnacentral:lncRNA from 1 species
AUGAUCAAACCCUUCAAGCACUUCAUGUGGGACUUUCGCAUCUGGAUACACAUUAACCCAUCCAUUGGUUGCUAAACCACGAUCUAAACGUUGUUGUAUAAGUCCCUCAUCCCUACGGUUCCUCCAUGUAAAUGGGUACCCAACAAAACCCAAGUCAAGCAACCCGUUAUAAACAAUAAACUCGUUGAAAUCCCUUCGUCUAGCGACAAACCUAUAAUUACCCCUUCCUUCUCCGAAUCAUCCAAGAUAUCAUUAAAAUCACCAAUAACCAAACAUUUAUCACCAGCAGCCGCAAGCCGUUGAGACAAAACCUUUCAUUGAUCCCUUCUCUUCUUAGCAUCAGUGCUCGCAUACACCGCAAACAACCUCCACAUCUCAGAUUUUAAACCAUCAUAAAUUCCUACCUCAAUAAAAAAAUUCGCGUACUUAACAAGCAUCACCUGAUCAUAGUCCUUCCAAAAAAUACAAUAUCACCCGCAAUUCCUUUGGGCUCCACAGCAUGCAUAAACUCCAUCCCAAGCCGUCUUUUUAAAUAAACAUAGCAAUUAUUCCUAUUUUUUUGUCUCUAGUAAAAUCACUAUGUCGGGGGUGUGGAGCCUAUUUUGCUUAAUCAGAUUGUCAACUGGCAGGUCACUCCCGAUACCCUGACAGUUCUAACAAAUUAGUUUCAUGGGGACUUGGGAGACCCCUCAAGGCUGGUCUCCUCCGCCUCAGAUAAAAACAUUUUUCAUGGUCGGUUGGUUUUUGGUUCAAAGCACAUCACUGGGUCUACAUAUUCCACCUCCUGAAUGGAACGUUUUUUCCCUUUUUUUCUCAUU